CGUGCACAAUGCACAUGCACCCGAAUCACGCAUUUAAACGCGUUAAAUUACAUCACGCCUACAACGUGGCACACUCGUGAAUCGCGGUUUUUUUUGUACUGUUAUAAUUUUACAAGCAUUCAAAUUAACAUAGUCAAAUAUUUGUUAUCGCCUUCUACAUGCAACACAUUUAUAUCAUUUGAAAUGAAAUAAUCGAUCGUAAGAUUAGGUUAUAUUCUUCGUUAUGACAGAUUUCGGGUGUAACAUGAUGUAUUUUUUUUUCUGAACAACUUUCUACCAGAAGUCUCGCUCCAUGAACUUUAGGGUUUGCAAAUUACGUCUAGUUGAUUAGUUAUUUACUGAUUUUGUUCGUAGUUUUGAUUGAGGCUGUAAUAGUUUUCGAAAAAAUCAUGAAAUACUAAAAACCAAAUAGUAAUACGAAGAGUUCAAAAUUCGGGUGUGUGUGGCACCUGAUUCCUGAUUGGAUAUGUUCGAUUGUUUUCCAUUAUUCCGAAAAUGGUUGAGUAUCUUAACCUCUUUAAAGUAUCAAUUAAAUUCAAAACUCUACAAAAAAGUUCUGAUAAAGUUUUUGAUCGGAGUAAGAGUCUUCAAGUUAAAAACCCGAAAAGCCAUCAAAAAAAAUACGAGAUUCACCAUGAGUUGUACUUAGUGGUGGAGAAAAAAAGUUAUCCUUAAUAGUAAUUUUUGUUGUGAGCGUGUUCGAUGAACAAAAAAACAUCGUAAACAUCGAGGUACUUUUUAAAACGUAAUUGAUCGAACUUUGCUAAAAAUCGUUUUGAUGUUUUGAAUUAUUAACAAAAUUUAUCGAUGCAUUAUACAGCUGAUAUAUCCUACGUUAUACUAACUUCCCACCUAUUAUAUAACAGUGUUACGUGCAUUUUUAUUUGUAAACGGGAUAUUUUGAGAGGGCGCAGGUGCGUUAUAAAUGUUAUCGCCGUGCA